ACGAACGCUGGCGGCGUGCUUAACACAUGCAAGUCGAACGGUGAAGCGCUUGCCUUUUUGGUGGGUGUGGAUGAGUGGCGAACGGGUGAGUAACACGUGAGUAACCUGCCCUCUUCUUCUGGAUAACCUCAUGAAAGUGGGGCUAAUACGGGGUAUUCCGGGUCUGUCGCAUGGCGGGUUUGGGAAAGAUUGCGCCUUUGGGUGUUUUCGGUGGGGGAUGGGCUCGCGGCCUAUCAGCUUGUUGGUGGGGUGAUGGCCUACCAAGGCGGUGACGGGUAGCCGGCCUGAGAGGGUGGACGGCCACACUGGGACUGAGACACGGCCCAGACUCCUGCGGGAGGCAGCAGUGGGGAAUAUUGCACAAUGGGCGAAAGCCUGAUGCAGCGACGCCGCGUGAGGGAUGGAGGCCUUCGGGUUGUGAACCUCUUUCGCCAGUGAAGCAGGCCUGCUCCUGUGUGGGUGGGUUGACGGUAGCUGGAUAAGAAGCGCCGGCUAACUACGUG
rnacentral:rRNA from 1 species